GACAGAGGGUGCGAACGUUGUUCGGAAUUACUGGGCGUAAAGCGCGUGUAGGCGGCAGCGCAAGUCGGGCGUGAAAUCCCACGGCUCAACCGUGGAAGUGCACUCGAAACUGCGCAGCUAGAGUCCUGGAGAGGAAGGUGGAAUGCUUGGUGUAGAGGUGAAAUUCGUAGAUAUCAAGCGGAACACCGGUGGCGAAGGCGACCUUCUGGACAGUGACUGACGCUGAGGAGCGAAAGCGUGGGGAGCAAACAGG
rnacentral:rRNA from 1 species